CAUUGAUGAUUCAUCGAUACUCUCCAAUCUUAUGAAGAUGAAUGAAUCAAUGAAGAAGAUCCCCAAUGUAAGAAAUUAAUUGUUUUGAAAUCGAACAUUGAUUCCGAUGAUUCAGAUUUUGAAGAUGAUGAAGAGGAUGAUGAAGAACUUGUUCACAUGGUAAAGAAGUGCAUAAAAAUGACC